AUUUUUUAGAUAAUGAAAGAUUUUAUGGGGAAAUGAAAAAACAUAUAUAGAAGAUCCUUGGGGGUUCGUGAGAGCUAACGUAAGCCCAGAUUACGCUUUGAAGAUUUUCUGAGCAACAUGCACAGAUUCUCUCUUUUUUCGGUUUGGGUGAAACUUUAAUAUAUUAUAACGAGUGUUUUAAAAAAAAUUAUAUUCGUACAAAUUUAACGAGUUUGUG